UUGGCAAACGAGUAUGAAAAUGAAAACGAUUUGCAGUAUCUACGGCCUAGCUGUGCAUCCCUUUUGAAUCAUCUGCGCAUCUAUAUCCCCGAGGUAAUUACUUAAUUUAACAUUGUUUUCACCAACAGAAUGAUUAUCCUCAUUAAGGACAUUUAAUGAAUUAUAUUUUCUCAUAUAAUUUUAUGGGUUCACAGCUCUUUCCAGAUCUGAACAAGAUUAUAUUUUUGGACGAUGAUACUGUAGUACAACAUGAUUUAUCAUCUCUAUGGGAACUGGAUCUCAAUGGCAAAGUUGUUGGUGCAGCUUUUGACUCGGGUUGUGGAAAUGGCUGUUGCCCUGGAAGAAAAUACAAGGAUUACUUUAAUUUUACGAGUCCUGUCAUAUCAUCUAACCUGGAUUAUGAUCGUUGCGGAUGGCUUUAUGGAAUGAAUGUCUUUGAUCUUCAAGCUUGGAGGAAGACUAACAUCACUGCCACUUACCAUCACUGGCUUAAACUUGUAAGUACAUAUCAAGCUAACUAAGUCGAAUCAAAAAAUUAUACCUUUCCUUGUUAUUAUUUCUAAAUGCCUAUUAUAAGGGUCUCACGAAUACUUAGGAUGUGCAUUAUGCAUAGCUGCUGCUGUAGAAUGUUUGUAAGUUUAGCAUUUUGUGUUGGUUAUCAUGUGAAAUUACACGAUUGCUAGCUCAUAUCUCUUCAGACAGGUUUUUCAUGCUAUCGAAAACACUUAUCAAUGAGGGGUUAGCUCUUUGUUCAUGAAACAUGUCGAACACUCAAUCUAAUGGAAAUCUAGCGGUUUUAUCUGUUCUCAUUUCGGUUAAUAGGUUGCUUUAAUAGUGUGUUUUGACGAUAUCAUACUUUGACAUCUUUAUUCUAUUUUGUAGAGCCUCAACUCUGGUUUUGAAUUGUGGAAUCCUGGAGCGCUUCCACCUUCCCUGAUAGCUUUUGAGGGUCAUGUGCAUCGGAUUGAUCCUUCAUGGCACAUUGCUGGUUUAGGAUAUCGAUCUAUUAUGAAUGUGGCAGAGUCUACACUGGAAGACGUAGCUGUUGUACAUUUCAGCGGACCAGCCAAGCCAUGGCUUGAGAUUGGGAGCCCUGAGAUACGAAGCUUAUGGAGUCGCCAUGUAAAUUUCUCAAACGAAUACAUUAGGAAAUGUGGAAUCGUGGGGUGAAUGGAAGGGGACACAGUCUCACUCUCAACGUGAAAUAUGUCUGUAAUUUAGUCUUAAGAUAUAUUCUGAGUUGGAGGGAAGAAGGUACAGCCUUCAGUCUCCAAUCACACAACUGUAAUCCCUGUAUAGAUUGUGGGGUGAAUGGUUAAGGGGACAAAGCCUCACUUUCAACGUGAAAUAUAUCGUAAUUUAGUCUGAAGAUAUAUUCUGAGUUGGAGGGAAGAAGGUACAGCCUUCAGUCUCCGAUCACACCAUUGUAGUCCCUGUAUAGACUAAGCUAGCGUGCCAUACACUACACAGGCUAGAUGUUUGACAGCUUUCGUGUAUUAGGUUGAUAGAUAUAAAGCUAUUGCAAAGUCUUUUUUCCACGUUCCUAUACCUAUAAUAAUAUCUUUCUAUUGAAGUCAUAUGUAAGACAAGAGGGGCGACUUUGAUGGUAAGCAACCCCACUUCCAACCAAGAGGUUGUGGUUCGAGUCUCCCCAAGAGCAAGGUGGAAAGUUCUUGGAGGGAAAGAUGCCGGGAGUCUAUUUGGAAACAGCCUCUCUAACUACCCUUCCCAAACCCCACUAAGUAGGAUUAUACUGGGUUGUUGUUGUUGAAGUCAUAUGUAGGACAUUCGAUGAAGCUAGGAAGUUUUCUAAAAUAAUACUACUAAUAAAAUUCUUAAAGUAGACAAAUGGUAUAAUUAUCAUGGGCAGGUGAUUGUCAACAACUAAGAAAACUUAGAAGUAGACAAUUUAUUUUAUUUUGGGUGUACUUGAUUAGUUAAUAUAUACACGAUAACGUAGUUAUUGUCAAUUUACUUCAGUUGAGGAUGACUAUUUUAAAUGCUAGUAAAAGGCACUAUCAGCUGUACAAACAUUAAGACAAAUAAAGAAUCAGAUGUCCACUUUUACUAAUUUUGGAAAAAACAAUCGAAAUGAAGAACAAACACGUGUAUGGCAUCACAUUUUAGAUAAACUAUUAACUGAGGUGAAAUGGCUAUAGUUGGCCAUGUUACUUUUCUAAACACAUACAGAAACAAAUAGCAGAAAGUUAACCACAGAUUUCUUUUUCUCUACGAUAAAGAUGAAGAGAUU
rnacentral:lncRNA from 1 species